rnacentral:rRNA from 1 species
UCUCCCUGCAGUUCUCACCUGGUUUCUCACUGAAGAAAAGCAGGGUUGAGUGUGGCGAGUACCUGGAUGGGAGACCUCCUGGGGAAAACAGGUUGCUGAGGGAA